GAAUUCGCCCUUAGAGUUUGAUCCUGGCUCAGGACGAACGCUGGCGGCGCGCCUAACACAUGCAAGUCGAACGGGACUAUGCAAGAUGAAGUUUUCGGAUGGAAUUUUGUAUAGUUUAGUGGCGGACGGGUGAGUAACACGUGAGCAACCUGCCUUCGAGAGGGGAAUAACGGCUGGAAACGGUCGCUAAUACCGCAUAACAUACAGGAGGGACAUCCCUUUUGUAUCAAAGAUUUAUCGCUCGAAGAUGGGCUCGCGUCCGAUUAGGUAGUUGGUGAGGUAAUGGCCCACCAAGCCGACGAUCGGUAGCCGGACUGAGAGGUUGAACGGCCACAUUGGGACUGAGACACGGCCCAGACUCCUACGGGAGGCAGCAGUGGGGGAUAUUGCACAAUGGGGGAAACCCUGAUGCAGCGACGCCGCGUGUAGGAAGACGGUCCUCUGGAUUGUAAACUACUGUCCCCAGGGACGAAGAUGACGGUACCUGGGGAGGAAGCUCCGGCUAACUACGUGCCAGCAGCCGCGGUAAUACGUAGGGAGCGAGCGUUGUCCGGAAUUACUGGGUGUAAAGGGAGCGUAGGCGGGGAUGCAAGUUGGGUGUUAAAUCUACCGGCUCAACUGGUAGUCGCACUCAAAACUGCAGCUCUUGAGUGAAGUAGAAGCAGGCGGAAUUCCUAGUGUAGCGGUGAAAUGCGUAGAUAUUAGGAGGAACACCAGUGACGAAGGCGGCCUGCUGGGCUUUUACUGACGCUGAGGCUCGAAAGUGUGGGGAGCAAACAGGAUUAGAUACCCUGGUAGUCCACACCGUAAACGAUGAUUACUAGGUGUGGGGGGUCUGACCCCCUCCGUGCCGGAGCAAACGCAAUAAGUAAUCCACCUGGGGAGUACGGCCGCAAGGUUGAAACUCAAAGGAAUUGACGGGGGCCCGCACAAGCAGUGGAGUAUGUGGUUUAAUUCGAUGAUACGCGAGGAACCUUACCCGGGCUCAAACGACGGAUGAAUACUUUUGAAAGGAGGUAGUCCUUCGGGACAUCCGUCGAGGUGCUGCAUGGUUGUCGUCAGCUCGUGCCGUGAGGUGUCGGCUUAAGUGCCAUAACGAGCGCAACCCCCAUCGCCAGUUGCCAACAGGUAAAGCUGGGAACUCUGGCGAGACUGCCGGCGCAAGCUGUGAGGAAGGCGGGGAUGACGUCAAAUCAGCACGGCCCUUACGUCCGGGGCGACACACGUGUUACAAUGGCAGGUACAGAGAGAUGCGACACGGCGACGUGGAGCGGAACUGUCAAAACCUGUCUCAGUUCGGAUCGGAGUCUGCAACCCGACUCCGUGAAGCUGGAUUCGCUAGUAAUCGCGCAUCAGCCAUGGCGCGGUGAAUACGUUACGGGGCCUUGUACUCACCGCCCGUCA
rnacentral:rRNA from 1 species